GAAUUCCACUAAUCUGCAGCAGGGAGGUCUUCAUCCUUAUCCCCUGCCACUCCUCUCCUCUUCUUGCUGCCUACGUACAGAGAGAGAGAAGGAGAAAAGAAGGAGCAAAGAAGAGAAGAGAAAAGAGAAGAAGAAGAAGAAAAACAAAGAAGAAAGAAAGGUAAAGAUUUCUAUUUCUUUUCCUCUCUUUGCUCUGUUUUCUUUCCCCCCCCCCUCACUCCCUUUUCUCUGCUGCUGUCAGCAGCAGCAAGCAAUCAGCAGCAGCAGCUGCAGCUCAGCCUAGAGGCUGAGCAAGUAAUAGCAGCAGCAGUAGCUUGGCAGUCAGCAGUGGUAGCUGCUGUCAGCAGGGGCUUCAGCAGCAGCAGUAGUGAGCAACAGCAGCAGCAGGCAGCUGAGCAGCAGCAGCCUCAGCAGCUUCAGCUGCUGAGCAGCAGCUUCAGCAGCAGCAGGAGCAACAGCAGCAGCAGGCAGCUGAGCAGCAGCAGCCUCAGCAGCUUCAGCUGCUGAGCAGUAGCUUCAGCAGCAGCAGGAGUAAUAGCAGCAGCAGCAGCUUAGCAGCCUCAGCAGCAGCAGUGCGCAGGAGCAGCAGCAGCAGCAGUGCGCAGGAGCAGGAGCAGCAGCAGCAGCUCAGCAGAAGCUGCUGAGCAGCAGCAGCAGCUGCUGUCAGCAGCUCAGCAGCAGCAGUAGUAGCUGCAGGCUGCAGGGAAAAGAAAAGAAAGGAAGAAAGAAAGAAUGAAAAGAAAGAAAAGAAAGCAAGAAAGGAAUGAAAGAGAGAAAAAUGGAAUCAAAGUAUUUGGACAGUUUUUCCUCAUUGUUUUGAGGUUCGUGGGCUAAUAAGGGUUGAAUUACGCUAUGUAAUUGUGAAAAUUGCCUUGAAAAGGGGUUUUUAUAGAAAUUGACCUUGAUAAUGCACUUUUGCAGGAUAGAAGCCCUAUCGCGAAAUUGACCGCGCACAAAGCUAAUUGGGGGUAAAAGAAACGCGCUGGCGAAGUCGGUUCGGCAAUCCGUCGCUCCUACGCGAAGAUAUCGCCAAAAGAAGAUUCUUGACGUCGAUAGUCACGAGCACGGGUCGCGGUUCUCGGGAAAGCGCUAGAAGCGCAUUUCUCCCAUUCCGGCAUCAAAGAAAGGUGGGUUGUGCUUACCGAAGUGAUUAGGUCACUUCCAUGUCAAAGUAAAGUAUGGUUUCAUUUGACGCAUCUAUACCUAUGAUUGUCGCUAUAUGCAUAUUAAUGCCAAAUGACCUCUAAUAGUAUCAUGUGAAUAUGAAAGCAUGAAUUCUGUGAAUUGCCUAUCAUUGGAAUAUGUAUAUGAAUCUAGUGAUAAUCAUGUAUGAUUAUUUACAUGCGAUCAAUAUGCUAUGAAUGCGUGAAUUCUGAAUGCUAGUUGCAACAAGCUAAACACAUAUGCAAGUGAAUGCGGGAAACCUAAGAAUAAAUAUAUAUAUGAAUGUGAAUUCCAUGCUAAAUUCAUAUGCUCAAAUAUAUGAGAUAUACUUGUUGAACCUGUGAAGGCCAAGGGCGUGUAAGUAUGAAAUAGGAACAUAGAUGCUACAGUAUACAUAUUUGUCGACACGUAAAAGCGAAAAGCGAAUAUUUGAAAGCAUAUGUCUAAACAUAUAUGUAAAAGUGAAUGUUUGAUAAUUCAAGCUAUUUGAUUGUCGAUAAUGCUAUUUAAUUAGAAAUCUCGACAGUAACAAGAUCAGUGAAAUUGUGUAAACUAUGAACUUCAUGUUAAAGCCCUAAGAAUUGGGUAUGAAUCGACAACUCCAAUUGAGUAGAAAUUUGGACGGUAACAAAGUAAAUGAAAUUGUGCAAAUUAUAAUCCUAGAUAUGACUAACUAGGAUAAUGAAUAGAUCGAGUGGCAUGAAACCUAAGUUCUUGAACCUAGGUUGGACAUUGUAUAGAUCGAGUGGCAUGAAAUGAACCUAGUGUUAUUGAACAUAGGUCAGGCAUUAACCUAGUGUCAUUGGACCUAGGUCGAGUAUGUAAACCUAGAGUUGAGAUCUAGGAGAAAGUAUAUAAAACCUAGUGUAAGUGAACCUAGGUUAUGAUGUCAAGAACCAUUUAGUAAAAGUAAACUAAGUUAUGAAUUAUAGUGGCAAUAGGACCACUAGAAAGUGAAUAAUAUAGACCUAAGAAGGUCGUCAACAUAGGGUCAGUGAGUAAACCCUUAAGUUGUGAAAUGGAUUCCGGAAUCCUUAGGAAUGGUGUGAUGGCAGAAAUAGAAUCUUAACUACGGGAUUGACGGUUCUCCUCUCCCGGUAGUGAUUCAACGGGAUCGACGGUUCUCCUCUCCCGGUAUGCCAUGAAACAAGUGAAGUGAAUCGAAACUACGGGAUCGACGGUUCUCCUCUCCCGGUAGUGAUUCAACGGGAUUGACGGUUCUCCUCUCCCGGAGCUAACGGGUUUGACGGUUCUCCUCGCCCGUUGAGCUUGAGCGACUUAGGGUCACGGGGAUCGACGGUUCUCCUCUCCCUGUGAUGGACCUAGUGUCGCGUGGACUUAAGGCUGAGGUGUUGUGAGACGUCCUUCACCUCGAGCCUGACUUGACGCGGUACUCCGCGGUUGAUUGACUCAAGACCGAGUCGAGUGGCUAGAUGGCUAAGGUAAAGUAACCUUAGGAAAGAAUCGCCAGUGAGUACAAUAAGAAUAAAGAAUAAAGCAUAAAGAAAAGAAUAAAGAAAAUAGCUAAUGAAUGAAACUAGCUAAGAAAUAAUAGAACGGCUACAAGUAAAGAAUGGCUAAUGAUAUAAAGUAGAAUCAAAUAAGCUACUUUCAUGAUUUACAGGUAUUGCAUAGUGCAUAGCAGCGAGGCAAGGUAUGGUUCUAUUUGUUGCAUCGUUAAAUAUCUAUCUAUCUAUUUGUUGAACUAACCUACUGUUGCCUCCUUUGGACCUGGUGGGUCGAGCUCUUCUCUUGGGUGGCCGUACCCACUGGGAACUAUAUUUAUAUAGUUCUCACCCCCGUGUUGUUUUGG
rnacentral:lncRNA from 1 species